rnacentral:lncRNA from 1 species
AUAUCUGUUUCAUUGACGAUGAAAGGACUUCAUGUAAGACUAUUUUAAUGUUUUAGUUAGUCGGAGUUUACUCGGACCUUAGUCGGAAGGGUUCGUAGAAAAAAUGUGAUGAGCUUGUAGAAAUGUUUUGAACACGUUUUCGUAUGGUUUUAUGAAGUUUAUAAAGUUUUAAGUAAGGUUUAUUAUUGUUAAAUGUUAAGAUAAAAGGAAAAGGAUACUUGCUUAGGACAGAUGUAAGUAGAAAGCCUUAGUUAAUUCAUUUUUGUGAUUUAGUACUAAUUUAAUACAUGUAAACAUACCGAUUUAAUUUCAUUAUUAUUUAGUUUCAGAUUGUUGUUAUUUGUGAAUAAAUCUUAAUACUAAAAUCCCAAGCGUGUAUUGUAUUAUUGGAUUAUUGUAUGUUAGCUCCAAGUUAUCGUCGGUCCAUUAUCUGAAAAUCUUGGUGUCUAUUUAACGUGCUGAUCGUGGUUUGGAGCUAUUAAAGUAUUAAAAUGGAUAAAGAUAAAGUCAAGAAUAUUCGACGGGCUGCAAAAGGCACAUUAACGAGGGCAUUUAUCGCUUGUAAGAAUCUUAUUGAUGCUCAGCGCCCUGUUGUCGAAGUCAAAGAAGCGUUUGAUGUUGUUAAAAAUGCGUAUAAUGGUCUGGAAGUUAAGCAUGAAGAAUUUACAAUGGUGUUAGAUGACACCCAAUAUGACGAAGCUGAGGAAUGGAUGCAAGCUUGUAACAGUGAGUACAUGAAGUUUUCUAUGAUGUAUAAUGAUUAUUUGAAUGCCAAUGUUGCUGAAAAGGAAAAUGAUGAUGUAGUAAAUCAGGCUAUAAAUGAAGAUGGAAAUAAUGCAAAUGUGGACGGUGAGAAUGAUGAAAACAAUAGUGUAAAUGAUGACCAGGAAAGUUUAGAUAUGCAUGAGCCUGCUGAAGACGAACUAAGUAGUGUGACAAAGAAUGUGAAAUUGUCAAGCCCCUUUGCCAUGAAACACGAGAAGCCAAAACUGCCCAAAUUUGAUGGAGAUGUAAGACAGUACUUUAUUUUCAAGUCAGAUUUCCAGCAUGCUGUAGAAGCCCACUGUUCUGAAAGGGACACCCUUACAAUUCUUCGGUCGUGUCUUAAUGCCCAACCAGCAAAGUUGAUCGAAGGGAUAAGUUCAGAUUUGAAAACAGCAUGGAAGUACCUAGAUCAAAACUAUGGGAAUCCAAGAGUGGUGUCAGACACAGUCACAUCAGAUCUAGAGAAAUUUAAGAUAAUCCAGCCUGGUGAGGAUUAUCGCUUCUGCGAGCUUGUUAAUUUAGUGCGAAGAUCAUACAAUAUUCUGAAAGAAGUCAAGAGGAAACAAGAUAUCGACAACACCCAUGUAAUAUCCUUGAUAGAGAGAAAGAUGACCAAAGAUGAUCUUAGAGUAUGGUCGCGCCAUAUCAACAGUCGUAAGUUUGAACCGUCAAUGGAAAAUCUUCUUGAAUGGAUGGAGGAGGAGAUGACAGCCCGAAUACGUUCUGGUGCCACAAUCCGUAAGAACACUGGAACCAGAUCAGGGGUAAAUGCAUUUGGUUAUAGAGAAUCGAAAGGGGGGGAAGUCAAAUCGAAAUGUUAUGUUUGUCAGGAAAAUCAUUAUGUAGAUGAAUGCAAAAAGUUUAUCGAUAUGACCCCCAACGAAAGAUGGAAAGUCGUAAGGGAGCAAAGAGCAUGUUUUUCAUGUCUGAAAAGAAGUAAAGGUCACACUGCUGUGAACUGUACUCGAAGGAGAGAGUGUGGUCAAGCAAAUGGGAAUGGUGACAACUGUAAGAAAUACCAUCACAAGCUGCUCCACUGCAACAACAUCGAAGAGAGAACAGGUAAUCGUGUCCAUUCCACCCGAGAUAACAACAGUACUACUAUACUCCCUGUAAUUACUGGUUUAGUUAAAGGAAAGGACAGUGUUAUGUCAGAAGCUAAUGUAUUUUAUGAUAGUGGUGCCCAGAUCUCUAUGAUUCGCAGAAGUUAUGCGGAAUCCUUGGCAUUGGAAGGAAAGCCUAUUAACAUUGUGAUCACUAAAGUUGGAGGAGUGGAAGAAGAGUUAACAACAAAAUUGUAUAAAGUUCCAGUGCACAAUUCUGAUGGGAAAAGAGUCCAAAUAGUUCAAGCAGUUGGCAUCGCACAGAUUUCAGAAGACAGUCCCAAUGGUAAUAUAAGCGAAGUCUCAAAAAUCUUCGACAUUCCUACUAGUAUGCUGAAGCGCAAAGUUGGCCCGGUCGACCUUCUGAUUGGAAUUAAUUACCCACAGUUCCAUGCUGGUGAGACUAAAAUUAAGAAGAAUCUUGCCGUCAGAAAAAGUCCACUUGGUUGGGUGGUCUUUGGGACUGACUCAAAGGAAAUGACUUUCCAAAACAAUAACGUUUUGCAUGUGCGUCUUGCCCCUCCAGUUGAUUUGACAGAUUUUUGGAAAACCGAAUCAAUGGGUGUUUCUCCCUCGUUAUGCAAUUGUCAAGAAGUUGAGAUGUCUUUGAAAGAACAGCAAGAGUUAAAGUUGAUAGAAGAAUCCUGUGAGUUGGUUGGCAAGAAAUGGAUAAUGAACUAUCCUUGGAAGAAAGACCCUAGCCAAUUGCCAAACAACUAUUCGCAAGUCCUGAAGAAGCUGAAAAGUACAGAGCGUCGCUUGAGUAAACAGCCCAAACAUGCCAAAGAUUAUGAUACACAGAUAAAAGAAAUGGAAGAUAGAAAGUUCUUGAGAAAGUUAACACAAGAGGAAGUCGCAGAAUGGAAAAAGCCAGCCCAUUAUAUCGCUCACCACGCCGUAGUUCGUGAAGAAAAGAAGUCUACGCCAGUGCGUAUCGUUUUCAACAGUUCAGCGUCGUUCAAAGGACACUGUCUAAACGAUUAUUGGUACAAAGGUCCCGACCUACUGAAUAACCUUUUCGGGGUAAUACUGCGUUUCCGAGAGAAUGCUGUUGCUGUUUGUGGUGAUAUUGCAAAGAUGUAUCAUAUGGUUGGCAUCCCGCCAAUUGAUCAACAUGUCCACCGCUUUCUUUGGAGGAGUUUCGAGACAGAGCGCGAGCCUGAUACCUACGUUAAGACAGUUCUUACGUUUGGGGACCGUCCAUCGCCCACCAUGGCCAUCGUUGCAAUGCGUAAAACUGCUGAGCUGAAAGAGGAUGUCAAGCCGGAAGCUGCCAAUUCAAUCAAGAAAAAUACCUACAUGGAUGACAUAUGUGACUCGCAGAACACCGUACAAGCAGCCAAAGAACUGACAAGAGAUAUUGAUGAAGUACUUGAUGCUGGCGGAUUCCACGUCAAGGGAUGGGUAUCAAACGCAGUGUUGAAUGAUGAAGAGCAACAAGGAGAAGUCGUACUUGGUCAAGAUCCGCUGAACGAUACACAGAAAGUUCUUGGAACAGUUUGGAACCCUCAACAAGAUAAGUUUUCAUUCAAAGUUAAAUUGGGACACACUGAUGUUUCAGAAUCGGAUGAAUCCCUACGCUCUACAGUUCCAGGAAAGUUAACAAAGCGUAUCAUUUUGAGCAAGAUAUCUGGAAUCUUUGACCCGAUUGGAGGUGGUGCCGCUGUUCUGAUAAAAGCGAAGAUAGCGAUGCAAGAGUUAUGGCUACGAGGGCUGGGUUGGGAUGACGAUGUCCCACCAGACGUCAGAAAGAAAUGGACGGUGUUGUUCAAUGAAAUGUCUACCUUAAAUGAGAUUGAAUUCGAGCGAUGCUUAACACCCCUGAAUGCAAUUAGUAAUCCAUGGUUAAUUGUAUUCUGUGAUGCUUCUCGGUUGGCAUUUGGUGCUUGUGCAUAUAUGAGAUGGCAACUUGAAGACGGAGCAUUCGGCGUAAGAUUUGUUGCUGCGAAAUCUCGGGUGGCGCCAUUGAAAGAACUCACAAUUCCUCGCCUGGAAUUACAAGCUGCAGUCUUAGCCAGCCGCUUGGCUAAGGCCAUCCUGAAGGAAACCCGCCUGAGGAUUGCACGAACAAUCUUCUUCUCGGACAGUCGUGUCACACUUGCAUGGAUUCAAGGACAGCCGCGAACCUAUAAACCCUUUGUUUCUUGCCGAGUUAGUGAGAUUCAAUCAAACUCCGACCCUUCCAACUGGCUCCAUUGUCCCACUGCAAUGAACGUGGCGGACGAUUUAACGAAAGGUAUUUCGGCUGAAGAAGUGAAUGGUAGAUGGUUAAACGGUCCGGUGUUUAUACAGUUACCCGAGGAGCAAUGGCCGAUGGAAACUGGCGUACCAGAAAGAAAGGAAGUUAACAAAGAAAGGAGACAAGUCAAGAUCGUAUGUCCUGUCGCUGUCAGCAAGCCGUUAUUCGACUGUAAACGGUUCUCGAAGUGGAAACGAGUAAUAAGGAUCACGAGUUACAUCCAGAGAUUUAUCCAGAAUUGUCGAAUCAAGUGUGGUCGAAAUGAGAGAAAUCAACAACCAGAAGUUGGUCCAUUAACCAAUCAAGAAUUGGAAAACGCGGAGGAGUACUGGCUAAAACAGAUGCAGUCAAAUCUCUUAAAGAGAUUACCUAGAGGCGAUUUCAAGACCCUGUCUCCAUAUAAGGACGAUAGAAAUAUCCUCAGGGUAGGAGGUCGUGUGGAUCCAACCUUAGUUUCCUACGAUGAAAGACGUCCCGCACUUUUACCAUAUGAUCACUAUCUGUCCACCUUAAUAGUCCGUGAUGCUCACGAAACAAGUCAUUCUGGUGUCGCCACGACAGUCGCCAAAAUACGUAGAAUGUAUUGGGUCAUCAAAGCUCAUAGGAUUGCGAAAGUCGUCAAGCAACGGUGCACAACAUGUCGAAAGCUCGAAGCGAAAGUUGAAACCCAGCUCAUGGCUAUCCUGCCACCAUUUCGUUUGCAGCCGUGCACCCCACCGUUCCUCUACUCAACGAUGGAUUACUUUGGACCAAUCAACGUAAAAGUAGGCAGAAACAAAACAGUUAAACAUUAUGGUGUAGUAUUCACGUGCAUGAAUACCAGAGCCAUCCAUUGCGAGAUUGCAGUUGAUGCCAGCACGAUGGAGCUCUUGCAAGUCUUAAGAAGGUUCUUUUCAUUCCGUGGUUAUCCGAAAGUGCUCUUAUCUGACAACGGAACGCAGAUGGUAGGAGCAAACAACGAAUUGAAGUUAAUGAUCGAAGGAUGGAACAAAGAUCAAUUGGAAGAAUUUUGCGCAGCCAGAGGAAUGAAAUGGCAAUUCAUCACACCAUUGGCACCGCAUCAAAAUGGAUGCUCUGAGGCGAUGGUAAAAAGUGUGAAGCUAGCAAUGAAGAGAGCAAUCGGCGACGCCCUUUUAACACCAUUCGAGCUAUACACGUGUGUUUUGGAAGCUGCGAAUUUGGUUAACCAACGGCCGAUUGGAAGAGUACCAACAGAUCCGGAUGAUGGCGGAUACCUAUGUCCAAACGAUAUACUAUUGGGCAGAGCUACGAACGCUGUGCCUCAAGGUCCGUUCCGAGAAACACAAAAUCCUCGCCACCGAUUCGAGUUUUGUCAGAGAAUUAUUGAUGCUUUUUGGAAGAAGUGGUCAAGAGACGUCCUACCGCUAUUAACCCCACGAAGAAAAUGGAAUACGCAAAGUCGUAAUGUAACGGUGAACGAUUAUGUUAUAGUGUCCGAGCCAAACGCAGUAAGGGGAAAGUGGAACACCGGAAAGAUCGUGGAAGUCUAUCAGGGAGAGGACGGGUUGGUCAGGAAUGUGAAGGUGAAAACUGCUACGGGAACCUACAGCCGACCUAUCAACAAGAUAUGCGUAAUUUAUCCAGCAGAAGGCUACGAAGAGGAGUGAAUGGGAGUUCUCCCAUUGUCGGGGGGAGUGUUUCAUUGACGAUGAAAGGACUUCAUGUAAGACUAUUUUAAUGUUUUAGUUAGUCGGAGUUUACUCGGACCUUAGUCGGAAGGGUUCGUAGGAAAAAUGUGAUGAGCUUGUAGAAAUGUUUUGAACAAGUUUUCGUAUGGUUUUAUGAAGUUUAUAAAGUUUUAAGUAAGGUUUAUUAUUGUUAAAUGUUAAGAUAAAAGGAAAAGGAUACUUGCUUAGGACAGAUGUAAGUAGAAAGCCUUAGUUAAUUCAUUUUUGUGAUUUAGUACUAAUUUAAUAUAUGUAAACAUACCGAUUUAAUUUCAUUAUUAUUUAGUUUCAGAUUGUUGUUAUUUGUGAAUAAAUCUUAAUACUGAAAUCCCAAGCGUGUAUUGUAUUAUUGGAUUAUUGUAUGUUAGCUCCAAGUUAUCGUCGGUCCAAACAUUCUGUCCACAAUGGUUUUCCAUAGGUAGAAGAAAAACUUGAUUUUCACCAUGUUCCACCGAAGGGAUUUUUUGGGAUUUUUAGUAUGUUAAUCAGGACACCUUCCCUCACAUUUUACCACUGAAAAAAAUUCUAUUGCAAUUUCUUUGACCCCUGGUCACAGAUUGACUGGACUACCCCCGGAGGCAUAAAUAAUGAACGGUCCCUAAAGGCUCGUUUACCGACUUGCAAAUUUUGCUGCGAUUUCUAGAAGUGUGAUUUUCCUCUUCUGAUGGAUGUGAACGAGUUAGGAAUUUUCUGAGUACAUUUACCCUCAUCUGAACAUUGUUAACAUUGAUAACUCGCCUACUUCUUCACAUCCAUCAGAAGAAGGAAAUCGCACCUAAAAUCGCAACACUGAAAAAUUCCAAGUGCAAAGAUCCAGACACACCGAACGCGAUUCGACAACGUGACGCGUUUUUUAGUUUUUGCAAGUUAAUAAAAUAGCCAAUGAGAGCAAAGUUUAAAAGAUAUGUAGACCAAAUAACUCAAAAUGUUAUAACGCUUCUAAAUAUUUGGAAAAUUUAAACUAAGAUCAAAGCUAUACGUUCAGUGAAAAUAAAAAAUUCGCGUCGCGUUGUCGAAUCGCGUUCGGUAAACCGACCUUAGACGGGGCUUCUUGAGAUAUCGCAUGAUUGGUUUUCCACAUUUGAUGUCACUACAAGGGUCUAGUGUUGAAUUAUGCUGAAAUGACUUCCUCUGGCACCUUAAUGGUCUUUAAUCUUACAAGUCUUCGAGUUCCUGUCAUUUGUGGCCGUUACGUAUGCCGCGUCAAGUACAACUUGUUCCCGCUUGAUAUCGAUAGGCUUGAACACGAUUAAUUGUGCUGCAACCUAAGAACAGGUUGUCAACAAGAUUGUUACAGCAUUGUUACGACUGAACAAAGUUGUAACAAUAGAUAUCAGUAAGCAACACGUCGUUGUUGGCAAAAGAAGUUGGCAAAGUGUCUUUUUUAUGGGCAAACAAUGUUAGACGAUGUUGGAUUGGGUUUAAUAGGGCGAGGAGUCGACAAACAAAACAAACACCUUGUGUUUUUAAAAACCGAUUUAACCAAUGUUGUUGUUCUGGGCAAAGAAACGGAAAAAAAAUUGGAAAACUAUUCUGAAACUCAGUAAUAUUGAAACAAAAUGACAAAAUAACGGCGCUAGUUCAUGGGAACGACCAUUAUCAGCGAAACACCAACAAUAAGGGAAAUCUGCCAGGAUUUAACUGGGUGACCUCCUUGUCCUGAUCCAUUUCCAAAAUAACCACCCCCGCCCACUCUCCUUCUCCCACCUCCUCUCCUUCCGCCACCUCCCCUACCCCCGCGGGCAGCUUUGACGGGCACACAUUGAGAACUGUCAACACAGUGUCCAUCAAUACAGCAUUCACUGAGACAUUGGACAGUCAAACAGCCUGAUGGAUGUGAACGAGUAGGUGAAGUGUUUCUUGUCACCUUGACUCGAUCUUCUCUAUUCGUCGUCUUCGCUUCUGUCGGAACUUUUGGUUCAUCUGUAGUCACGAAGUUUGUAGUUGAACGCUUAUUCGACGUGGGCUGAGUUGAAUUGUGAACACGGCUCGAACCCCUCAAAGAGAGCCUAUACAGUAGAACGGUUAUUAU